GACGAACGCUGGCGGCGUGCUUAACACAUGCAAGUCGAACGGAAAGGCCCUGCUUUUGUGGGGUGCUCGAGUGGCGAACGGGUGAGUAACACGUGAGUAACCUGCCCUUGACUUUCGGAUAACUUCAGGAAACUGGGGCUAAUACCGGAUAGGAGCUCCUGCUGCAUGGUGGGGGUGGGAAAGUUUCGGCGGGUGGGGAUGGACUCGCGGCUUAUGAGCUUGUUGGUGGGGUAGUGGCUUACCAAGGCUUUGACGGGUAGCCGGCAUGAGAGGGUGACCGGCCACAUUGGGACUGAGAUACGGACCAGACUCCUACGGGAGGCAGCAGUGGGGAAUAUUGCACAAUGGGAGGAAGCCUGAUGCAGCAACGCCGCGUGCGGGAUGACGGCCUUCGGGUUGUAAACCGCUUUCGCCUGUGACGAAGCGUGAGUGACGGUAAUGGGUAAAGAAGCACCGGCUAACUACGUG
rnacentral:rRNA from 1 species